rnacentral:rRNA from 1 species
UGGGGAAUAUUGCACAAUGGGCGAAAGCCUGAUGCAGCGACGCCGCGUGAGGGAUGACGGCCUUCGGGUUGUAAACCUCUUUCAGCUCCGACGAAGCGCAAGUGACGGUAGGAGCAGAAGAAGCGCCGGCCAACUACGUGCCAGCAGCCGCGGUAAGACGUAGGGCGCGAGCGUUGUCCGGAUUUAUUGGGCGUAAAGAGCUCGUAGGCGGCUUGUCGCGUCGACUGUGAAAACCCGCAGCUUAACUGUGGGCCUGCAGUCGAUACGGGCAGGCUAGAGUUCGGUAGGGGAGACUGGAAUUCCUGGUGUAGCGGUGAAAUGCGCAGAUAUCAGGAGGAACACCGAUGGCGAAGGCAGGUCUCUGGGCAUUAACUGACGCUGAGGAGCGAAAGCAUGGGGAGCGAAC